rnacentral:rRNA from 1 species
GAUGAACGCUGGCGGCGUGCCUAAUACAUGCAAGUCGAGCGAACGGACGAGAAGCUUGCUUCUCUGAUGUUAGCGGCGGACGGGUGAGUAACACGUGGAUAACCUACCUAUAAGACUGGGAUAACUUCGGGAAACCGGAGCUAAUACCGGAUAAUAUUUUGAACCGCAUGGUUCAAAAGUGAAAGACGGUCUUGCUGUCACUUCUAGAUGGAUCCGCGCUGCAUUAGCUAGUUGGUAAGGUAACGGCUUACCAAGGCAACGAUGCAUAGCCGACCGGAGAGAGUGAUAGGCCACAUUGGAACUGAGACGCGGUCCAGACUCCUACGGGAGGCAGCAGUAGGGAAUCCUCCGCAAUGGGCGAAAGCCUGACGGAGCAACGCCGCGUGAGUGAUGAAGGUCUUCGGAUCGUAAAACUCUGUUAUUAGGGAAGAACAUAUGUGUAAGUAACUGUGCACAUCUUGACGGUACCUAAUCAGAAAGCCACGGCUAACUACGUG